AAGUCGUAACAAGGUUUCCGUAGGUGAACCUGCGGAAGGAUCAUUUGAUGAGUUGAAACAGGACUUGAUGCUGGCUUACUCCAAAGCAUGUGCUCAGUUCUACUCAAUCCAUUUCACACCUGUGCACUUUCAAAGUUGUAGUCCUCCGUAAUGGGAGUCGUGUCUUGUAAUGAGAUGCUGGGACUACUCUUUGCCCAUUAUCACAAACAUCAUUAUAGUCUUGUAGAAUGUCAUUAGCCUAAGGGCUUAACUUAAUACAACUUUCAACAACGGAUCUCUUGGCUCUC
rnacentral:misc_RNA from 1 species